rnacentral:tmRNA from 1 species
GGGCCCGUAAAGGUUUCGACGGGGAUCUUGAGGUAUGAUAAGCGAGUAGAGCCGGACAAUCUCUAAAAAGGUCCACAUUAAAAUUAAACGCUAACAAUAAAACUGUAGCAAUGGCUGCCUAAGGGCAGUGCCGCGGCAUAAGCCGCCCGUUCCUCCGAGGAGUAUCGCGGCCUCGGACUGAGCGUCAAGACAGCGGUGAACGUGCGUCGGUGUUUCGCCAUUGAACCGACCACGCAGAAAAUGGCUACCCGCGCACGAAGUCUGUCUGUUGACGUCGUGCAAGGGGAAACUCAAAUAACAGACUGCACUCGGAGAAGGUCAUAUCAAGAGGUUUUCGGACAGGGGUUCGAUUCCCCUCGGGUCCACCA